GCGCUCAUCAUUUUUGUGAUUGGUGCAAUUGUGCACCAGCAAAUUGCAUAGUCACAAAAGUGAUGGUCGC
rfam:Ixodes scapularis strain Wikel colony gcontig_1108379023492, whole genome shotgun sequence.